UUGAUGAGGGUUCAGUGGAAGCCGCACACGCGUCCAGCCUCUACAGGUAUCCACACGAAGUAAUGAUUCGAUCGAAGCCUUUGGAUCUCCCCGAAGUGCUAGCUCCCUUGCAGAGAAGGCUAUUGAUGGCUGAAGUCGUCUCCUUUGAAUCAACUUUUGAUUGGCUUAAGAGGAGGAAGAAGAAGGAAAUGCCAAGGAAGAAGAAACAAAGGCUCUUCGCAGCCUUUUACU
rnacentral:lncRNA from 1 species